UUACGGCCUUAUCACUUCGAAGCACCGGUUCCUGUAAGAGCAUCGAAGUUAAGCAAUGUCGAGUCUGGUCAUUAAUUAGAUGGGUGACAGCUUGGGAGUACCAGGU